rnacentral:rRNA from 1 species
CGAUUAGUCUUUCGCCCCAUGCUCAUGUUUGACGAUCGAUUUGCACGUCAGAACCGCUGCGAGCCUCCACCAGAGUUUCCUCUGGCUUCACCCUACACAAGCAUAGUUCACCAUCUUUCGGGUCCAAGCGGCAAGGCUCUUACUCAAAUCCAUCCGAAGACUUCAGGAUCGGUCGAUGGUGCGCCGAGGCUCCCACCUACGUUCACUUUCAUUUCGCGUGCGGGUUUUGCACCCAAACACUCGCCCUAAUGCUUGACUCCUUGGUCCGUGUUUCAAGACGGGUCGCUGGUGACCAUUACGCCAGCAUCCUUGCACAAGGCGCGGUCCUCGGUCCCCGCGGAGGCAUCGGGCGGCGGGGUAUAACACUCCCGGGGGAGCCACAUCCCCGCCGCUCUUCUCCCCCCGCGAAAACCGAUGCUGGCCCGAGCCCGGCGGAGUGCACCGGCGAGAACGCCGGAUGAUCCGCCGGGCGCGAGUCUGGUCACAGGCGCUUCCCUUUCAACAAUUUCACGUGCUUUUUAACUCUCUUUUCAAAGUGCUUUUCAUCUUUCGAUCACUCUACUUGUGCGCUAUCGGUCUCUGGCCAGUAUUUAGCUUUAGAAGAAAUUUACCUCCCGCUUUGAGCAGCAUUCCCAAACUACUCGACUCGUCGAAGGAGCUUUACAAAGGCUCGGCGUCCGCCUGUACGGGGCUCUCACCCUCUCCGGCGUCCCGUUCCAGGGAACUCGGACGGCGCCUUGCCAAAAGCAUCCUCUGCAGAUUACAACUCGGGCCCUGGGGGCCAGAUUUCAAAUCUGAGCUGUUGCCGCUUCACUCGCCGUUACUGGGGCAUCCCUGUUGUUCUA